rnacentral:rRNA from 1 species
CCUACGGGAGGCAGCAGUGGGGAAUAUUGGACAAUGGGGGCAACCCUGAUCCAGCCAUGCCGCGUGUGUGAAGAAGGCCCUCGGGUUGUAAAGCACUUUCAGUGAGGAAGAACGCCUGGUGGUUAAUACCCAUCAGGAAAGACAUCACUCACAGAAGAAGCACCGGCUAACUCCGUGCCAGCAGCCGCGGUAAUACGGAGGGUGCGAGCGUUAAUCGGAAUUACUGGGCGUAAAGCGCGCGUAGGUGGCUUGAUAAGCCGGUUGUGAAAGCCCCGGGCUCAACCUGGGAACGGCAUCCGGAACUGUCAAGCUAGAGUGCAGGAGAGGAAGGUAGAAGUCCCGGUGUAGCGGUGAAAUGCGUAGAGAUCGGGAGGAAUACCAGUGGCGAAGGCGGCCUUCUGGACUGACACUGACACUGAGGUGCGAAAGCGUGGGUAGCAAACAGGAUUAGAUACCCUGGUAGUC